CUGCUGCCUUCCGUAGGAGUCUGGGCCGUGUCUCAGUCCCAAUGUGGCCGUCCACUCCCUCAAGCCGGCUACUGAUCGUCGCCUUGGUGAGCCGUUACCUCACCAACCAGCUAAUCAGACGCGGGUCCAUCCCAUAGCGAUAAAUCUUUGAAGAAAAGAACAUGCGCUCUCUCCUUGUUAUGCGGUAUUAGCAGCCGUCUCCAGCUGUUGUCCCCCUCUAUGGGGGCAGGUUGCCCACGCGUUACU
rnacentral:rRNA from 1 species